CGGAAGUUGUUCUGCGUCGUGUUUAGCUCCAACUGCAGAUCGUUGAAUGAAUUGAAACGGUUCAUUUCUGGGUCAGAACUUCAAUUUAAAGGUCUCCUGCUGUGAUGGCUCACGUCACCAUCAACCAGUACCUGCAGCAGGUGAACGAGGCCUUAGACAACCACGAGGGCUCCUUCUGCUCCGAGCUGCUCUCCUUCAAACACCCGCACGUCGUCAACCCCCGACUACAGCUGGCCAGUCCAGAAGAAAAAUGUCAGCAGCUCCUGGAGCCGCCGUACGACGAGAUGGUUGCCGCCCACCUCAGGAGUAUCUACGCUGU